rnacentral:ncRNA from 1 species
CCGGUACGUUUACUUUGAACAAAUUAGAGUGCUUAAAGCAGGCUAUAAUCGCCUGAAUACUGCGUGCAUGGAAUAAUGCAAUAGCACCUCGGUUCUAUUUUGUUGGUUUUCGGAACCCCGAGGUAAUGAAUUAAUAGGGACAGAUGGGGCAUUCGUAUUGCGUGCGGCAAGUAGGGCGGCCGCGUGCGCGCCGCCACGAGGCCCUGACGAGUAGGAGGGUCGCGGCGGUGUGCACAGAAGGGUCUGAGCGC